AAGUCGUAACAAGGUUUCCGUAGGUGAACCUGCGGAAGGAUCAUUAAAAAAAAGAGAAACGUCCCGUUUUUUUCAUAAGAAUGGGUUCUAUUCCCUUAAACCGUGUCUACAUACCUUUGUUGCUUUGGCAGGCCGCCUUCGGGCGUCGGCUCCGGCUGAUAGUGCCUGCCAGAGGACCCAAACUCUAUGUUUAGUGAUGUCUGAGUACUAUAUAAUAUUUAAAACUUUCAACAACGGAUCUCUUGGUUCUGGCAUCGAUGAAGAACGCAGCGAAAUGCGAUAAGUAAUGUGAAUUGCAGAAUUCAGUGAAUCAUCGAAUCUUUGAACGCACAUUGCGCCCCUUGGUAUUCCGAGGGGCAUGCCUGUUCGAGCGUCAUUAUAACCACUCAAGCCUGGCUUGGUAUUGGGGUUUUCGCGUGUUCGCGGCCCUUAAAAUCAGUGGCGGUGCCGUCUGGCUCUAAGCGUAGUAAUUUCUCUCGCUAUAGGGUUCCGGUGGUUACUUGCCAAAACCCCCCAUUUUUUCUAGGUUGACCUCGGAUCAGGUAGGGAUACCCGCUGAACUUAA
rnacentral:rRNA from 1 species